AUACGUAGGAUCCGAGCGUUGUCCGGAUUUACUGGGCGUAAAGGGUGCGUAGGCGGCGUGGUAAGUCUCAUGUGAAAUCUCCCGGCUUAACUGGGAGGGGUCAUGGGAUACUGCCAUGCUCGAGGGCAGUAGAGGAGAGCGGAAUUCCGGGAGUAGCGGUGAUAUGCGUAGAUACCCGGAGGAACACCCGUGGCGAAAGCGGCUCUCUGGGCUGUACCUGACGCUAAGGCACGAAAGCGUGGGGAGCAAACCGGAUUAGAUACCCGAGUAGUCC
rnacentral:rRNA from 1 species